GAACCAGGAAGUGGCGGUUAAAAUGGCUGCGUAGGACCAGGUCGAGAGUUUAACUGAGGAGGCAACAUGUCCCAUCUGCCUGGAUUUCUUCACCGAUCCGGUGUCACUGGAGUGUGGGCACAACUUCUGCCGCUCCUGUAUCACCCAGAGUUGGGACAAGGAGAGGAGAAACUCCUGCCAGGAAUGUAGAGAGGAGUUUAUAGACUGCAGCCUCAGGGUGAAUCGGGCCUUGGCGAGACUUUCUGAGAAAGCUCGAACACUGAGCCUGAAUCGGACAGAGAAGGAAAGUAAACUUCAGUGCGAGGAAAAUCAGGAAGAACUGAAGCUGUUUUGUGAAACGGACAAGAAGCUGAUCUGUGUGAUUUGUCGAGAUGCGCGGGAACACAGUGAUCACCGCUUCAUGCCGGUUAAAGAAGCUGUUCAAAUAUACAAGGAUCAGGUGAAAUCUUCCUUCGAAUCUCUCACAAAAAUAAAUCAGAGAUCCAGCAAAUGGAGCAGCAACAGAAACAGAAGAUUUUUGGAGUUCUGAAAUAGUCACACAACCUUCAGUCCAAGACCAUAUCUUACUUUGCAGAACAGCAC